CUUGCGACUCUGGAAAUAAUGUUACAGUCAAGAAAUGUUAUUGGCUAAGUUCUUGAGGGACCGUCCAGGGUUAUCCAGGUGGGGUAUUUAAGCUCCGCCGGCUGGCACGACUGCAUCACUGCCCCUCUGCUUGCCUAGCUGUGAAUACAGUAUAUGGUUAUAAGGAAUUAAAAAUUUACGCUCACCAUGAGGGCUAUCGUCCUGUUCGCUGUAGUGUUUGUGAUCCUCGUCUCGUCUCCAGAAGCAGAAGGAAAGAAUAAAGGAGGAGGUUGCACCAGGAACUCGGACUGCCCUCCCGGCGACAUCUGUUGCUCCGAAGGCUGCGCCAAAAGAUGUCACGACCCAUACAAGGACUGGAUACCCUAUUGAAUGUUUUUUUAAAACAUCGCACAUUCACUUUAUAUGAAAUACAGCAUUUCCGAUUUUGACUAUGUUCCAAGUCGUAUGUUGAUAUCCACAAGGAGAUUAUUUUAGUUUCGUUGAAUGAUGUAUUUCAUACAU